GAUGAAGAACGUAGCGAAAUGCGAUAAGUAAUGCGAAUUGCAGAAUUCAGUGAGUCAUCGAAUCUUUGAACGCACAUUGCGCCCUGUGGUAUUCCGCAGGGCAUGCCUGUUCGAGCGUCAUUUCAACCCUCAAGCCUCGCUUGGUGUUGGGCCCUGCCCGCCGCGGCCGGCCCUAAAGAUAGUGGCGGCGCCGCCUGGCCCUCAGCGUAGUACAGCUCUCGCUCCAGGGUCCGGCGGCAGCCUGCCAGAACCCCCCAACUCUGUGGUUGACCUCGGAUCAGGUAGGGAUACCUGCUGAACUUAAGCAUAUCAAUAAGCGGAGGA
rnacentral:misc_RNA from 1 species